UACGUAGGGUGCAAGCGUUGUCCGGAAUUAUUGGGCGUAAAGAGCUCGUAGGCGGUUUGUCGUGUCUGCUGUGAAAACUCGGGGCUUAACCCCGGGCCUGCAGUGGGUACGGGCAGACUAGAGUGCGGUAGGGGAGACUGGAAUUCCUGGUGUAGCGGUGAAAUGCGCAGAUAUCAGGAGGAACACCGGUGGCGAAGGCGGGUCUCUGGGCCGUAACUGACGCUGAGGAGCGAAAGCGUGGGGAGCAAACAGG
rnacentral:rRNA from 1 species